AAAUUUUGUGUUUGCAAGGACUGCUGCAGACAUAUUGAAAGAUGAAAAUAUGACCCAGGCUAUAAAAAAGGCCCUUAGUGAGAAUUUUCAUGGCAAGGAAGAAAGCGAUCCACAAGUUAUUUUGUACAAGAAUCUGUGGCUUGAGGCAGAAGCUUCACUGUGUACUGCUAGUUGUAUGGCCCGCUUUAAUCAAAUGAAGAGUGAGAUGGAAAAAUUGAACUCACAAAAAGUUUGCGAAAAUACUGUGGUUAUGGAGAAGCCAUCAGGGUCCAAGGUUUCUUCUGAUCUGUUCACAUAUAAGAUGUUGGCAUCUGAUAGUAAGGGCAGCCCUUUCGCAGAUACUUCCAUUCGAGAGUCAUCUAUCUUAAGCCCAAGCAGCCAUACUGAUGAUGUUACUGCCAGAUUUCACAUCUUAAAGUGCCGAAUCGACAACUCUAACACUUGGAAUACUUCUGGUGAAGACAAAACAUUAGGUUCGGCAGAGAAGAAGUCUAGUUCUGAUGUUUCUCCCAAUUCAAACGAAGUUGACAAAUUAGGAUGUGAAGACACAGAUGGCCACAAGCCAGAUGUAUCCAUCCAGGAUUCCUCUAUAUCAAGUACUAUCAGCCCUGCAGACGAUGUUGAAGCUUCUGUCAUGGCAAGAUUUCAUAUUCUGCAAUGCCGGGUUGACAAUUUGAAUUCCAUGGAUAAAGAAGAGCACCAGAGAGCAAGUGAUGAUCUUGGUCUUGGAAAUGCAGGUUUCCAUAGGCAUUGGCCAAUUGAUCAAGAUGGAUCACUGGACAGAAUUCUGGAUGUAAAUAUGGAACCUCAGUCACAAAAUAAUGCCUGUAUGUCUACUGAAGACAAAUCUACCAUCAAGGAAUUCCAUCUCUUCGUCAAGGAUGAUCCAAUAACCCAAUCUCGCAUGACC
rnacentral:misc_RNA from 1 species